UACGUAGGGAGCAAGCGUUGUCCGGAAUCAUUGGGCGUAAAGCGCACGUAGGCGGCCCCGUAAGUCCGCUGUGAAAGUCAAAGGCUCAACCUUUGAAAGCCGGUGGAUACUGUGGGGCUAGAGUCCGGAAGAGGCGAGUGGAAUUCCUGGUGUAGCGGUGGAAUGCGCAGAUAUCAGGAGGAACACCAAUAGCGAAGGCAGCUCGCUGGGACGGUACUGACGCUAAGGUGCGAAAGCGUGGGGAGCGAACAGG
rnacentral:ncRNA from 2 species